rnacentral:rRNA from 1 species
UACGGAGGGGGCUAGCGUUGUUCGGAAUUCCUGGGCGUAAAGCGCACGUAGGCGGCUUUGCAAGUUAGAGGUGAAAGCCCGGGGCUCAACUCCGGAAUUGCCUUUAAAACUGCAUCGCUAGAAUUGUGGAGAGGUAAGUGGAAUUCCGAGUGUAGAGGUGAAAUUCGUAGAUAUUCGGAAGAACACCAGUGGCGAAGGCGACUUACUGGACACAUAUUGACGCUGAGGUGCGAAAGCGUGGGGAGCAAACAGG